AAAUCCAUGGGCAUAUUAGGAAAAUAAUACAAAUUUAUAAUACAUCUUGGAUGUCUAUGAAAGUACAAGCAUGUAACAUAGAGUUCAACAAUUAAUAUAGUUCUUAUUUAGAAAUUGAUUUCAACCAAUUACAUAGACAAAACUUGAGGUGAAAAAAUUUGAUGGAUAAAGACUUUGAAGCUCUCAAAUAAAUGUUUUUUUUU
rnacentral:lncRNA from 1 species